GACGAACGCUGGCGGCGUGCCUAAUACAUGCAAGUUGAGCGCUGAAGGUUGGUACUUGUACCGACUGGAUGAGCAGCGAACGGGUGAGUAACGCGUGGGGAAUCUGCCUUUGAGCGGGGACAACAUUUGGAAACGAAUGCUAAUACCGCAUAAAAACUUUAAACACAAGUUUUAAGUUUGAAAGAUGCCAUUGCAUCACUCAAAGAUCAUCCCGCGUUGUAUUAGCUAGUUGGGGCGGUAAAGGCUAACCAAGACGAUGGUACAUAGCCGACCUGCGAGGGGGCGAUGCCAAACUGGGCUGGGAACACGGCCCAACACACUACGGGUGGCAGCAGGAGGGAACCUCUGGCAAUGGAAGCAAGGCUGAACGAGCAACGCCGCGUGAGUGAAGAAGGUUUUCGGAUCGCAAAAGUCUUGUGGGAGAGGAGAUCGUUGGUGAGAGUGGAAAGCGCAGAAAGUGACGGUAACUACCCAGAAAGGGACGGCUAACUACGUG
rnacentral:rRNA from 1 species